UCUCCGUAGGUGAACCUGCGGAGGGCUCAUUACUGAGUGCGGGCCUUCGGGCUCGACCUCCAACCCUUUGUGAACACAACUUGUUGCUUCGGGGGCGACCCUGCCGUCCGCGGCUGAGCGCCCCCGGAGGCCUUCAAACACUGCAUCUUUGCGUCGGAGUUUAAAACAAAUUAAACAAAACUUUCAACAACGUAUCUCUUGGUUCUGGCAUCGAUGAAGAACGCAGC
rnacentral:misc_RNA from 1 species